AGAGAUUACAGGAGGCUGUGCUCGUUCUGUUUCUCCGGGAGUCGAUCUUAGCGUUUUUCCCAUCCUCGUGUCUCUUCGUGUUAUGACACAGUACUCCAUUAUUUUGAUAAAUAAAUAAUUUAAUAGUUAAACAUUAAGCGUUAUUAGGGGCAAACGUAUAUUGAACUAAAAACGUGCAGUGAUUUUUUACCUAAAAUUGUCCAUAAGCGGUAACGAAACCCAAGCAUGAAAUCUGAACCAGCUCAUGAUUUUUAAUAUUUAGGUACCAACCAGACCUAUACUAUCUGCUCUCGCCUGGUAUCACGCUGUUACCAAUUCACCCUGUUUUGAGAUUCAAUAUCCAAGUGAGAUCUUGGGGCAAAGGGCAAUGAUCCAUUUAUCAGGAGGAUUCUGAAAAUGCCCAGCAUCAUUUAUAGACCAAUGUGACUGCAAACAGUUGCUAAACAAGGCAGUUGCUAAUAAAGACAACCUGUGCAGAAGCUACGUCCAAAAUAAAAGUCUGAAAUGUGACAUCCCAAUGAGAAAAGCAAUAGUAAAAUAAACAGUUGUCAUCCCAAAAUA